rnacentral:rRNA from 1 species
UACGGAGGGUGCGAACGUUAAUCGGAAUUACUGGGCGUAAAGCGCACGUAGGCGGUCCGUUAAGUGGGGUGUGAAAUCCCCGGGCUCAACCCGGGAAUUGCGCUCCAAACUGGCGGGCUAGAGUGUGGUAGAGGGGGGUAGAAUUCCCUGUGUAGCGGUGAAAUGCGUAGAUAUAGGGAGGAAUACCUGUGGCGAAGGCGGCCCCCUGGACCAACACUGACGCUGAGGUGCGAAAGCGUGGGGAGCAAACAGG